rnacentral:lncRNA from 1 species
UUUGUUCCCUGCAGCUCUUUGCACGUGCUUUGCAGACAGUCUGUCUGUGGGCAGUGCAAAGGACUGCUGCCUCCGUUGCAUCACUGGACGGCAGCAUUCGCUGACGGAGCUGUGGCAGUUCUGAGCGAGCGCCGCGAGACCAAUAACGAGGAGGUGGUGCAGCAGCUCUCCGAGUGCCGCUGGACAAAUCAGGCCGUGCGCUCUCUGUGAAUCUAUAAAUUUGACUGGUGUUUAUUGACUACGUUUGAAGGUGGAGUGCUGAGAUGGGCGGCACUCAGCGCUGCCCUGUAACGCCGCGCACUGCAGAAGCUGCUGCCUGCUGACGCUCCUCCUCUCAGUCCUUCAGCUGCAGCUUCUGCAUCAUCUCCACAAGGCUGUCCACUGCGGAGGCCUGGGAAGAAACGGAGCGAGGGUAGAAACAGGACACCACUUCCCUCGGGAUUUUACACUCUCUUCCUUUCAUGUGUGACAGACGGAGGCCCUGAGAACAAGAAGAGCCGUGUCUGUGUUCACCAAGGACUCACCUUCUGCACGUGCAGCGGCAGCUCUGAGGGCAGCCUUCUUCAGCUCCACUCUCCUCUCUUUCUGUCGCUGUCUUCUUGCUAUAGGCAAUAAACAUAGAUGAAUUCAUUUUAUCAGCAGCACAAGUGCAGAAACAUGGGUGCCGUACAAGCAUAAGGCAGCAAAAAGACGGAGGAAAUGGGACUAGGAAGCCUCCUUGUGAAUGAAAUUUCCAGGGGGACGUGCAGAAGACCACCCUGGAGUUAACGGGAAGAGAAGGGGUUACACGUUCGGGCACCUCACUGCCUUUGGACUUUGUAGCCUUCCACUCUUUUCCCCUCCACAGAGAAGGAAAAAGCAAAGCCAACCCUAAGCAAACUCAGUGUGCUCGCACAGGGAAGUGCCUCAGCACGGCGGGUACCACAGCACCUUCUCACCUCUUUGCUUGGAGCUCCGCGCUGCAGCAGGCCCAGGGUGUGCUGCUGGAGCCGGCACACAGUCUCCACUCGGCCCCCUCACUCUCUUAUUGGAAGGCAGCUGAGCUGCUGUUGGUUUCUCUUCCUCCAAGGCCUUGCGUUUAUAUCCAGCCAGGGUGCUGGAGACAGAGCGGGGGCACACGGCAGGGGAAGGUCUUCCCCCUGUGCUGGGACCUGCUCUUCUAAGAGGACCUCCAGCCUGGAGAGGAGCUUGAGCUGCUGCCUGUUGAGAAGCUCUCUCAGUAUGGACCUGCUGGACCACUUUGACAUAGAUUUUGUCAUUUCGCUCAGCACCAAUCUCUGUUAAGAAAGGAAAAACAAGGAGAUUUAAUGAGAGCCCAACACUACUUUCAGCCUGCAAAACGGGUCACAAUCCUGGGACAUCUCAUCUCAAGUGCUCACGGUCAUGGAUCAUAGGAUCUCGGCUGAACUGUGGGUUCACAUUUCUAAUCAGCACAGGAAUGCUAACUGUACAUGCCAGGGAUUAAGACCAGAACAAACACACAACGUCCACAGUCCCAGGAAAGGACGGACAGAAAGCCUCACUAGAGAGACAGUGCACCAAACCCAGGUGCCUGCUGUGUGUCUGUACCUCUCUUGGGUGCUGUGCCACACUGGGCGCUUCUGCCUUGCCUUUCUGCAAGGCUGCGCUUUGCUGGAAGGCCGCUCGCAUCAGCUUCUGGCAGAAAGGAGACAAGACAGACAUGAAGAGCAUCUCUAUGGCGGAAGAUUUGAGCACAGCCAACCACAAUCUUCUGGUCUUCAAGAGCAGUUUCUUCAGCUUGCCUUUCUGCUGCUACAACAUUAUGCCGCUUCUGCAGUCAGCACAGCUCACAAGAGCUUCUUACCUGCGGAGGCUUUGCGUUUCCAGCCUUGCCCAGCACCACUCCAUGGACGCGCAGGCUCCAUCCCUACAACAACAGAUGGUGUGUUGAUUUCACAGACACCAGCAGGCAGCAGAAGUACUGCCCAGUAUGCCCACGUCCCCCCAGAAAACAGAAAGAGGCUACUUGGACAGCCCAAACACAAACUGAUUGAGAGUUCACUUCUCACUGCUCCUUCCUGCACUCCAAAGGGAUGCUCACUUGACAUCCCCUGCAGCGCUGCACCCGCCCAGAAGGAAUACUCAAAAUUCAUUCCUCCACACUUCACGACAGAUGGCUGAAGAAACUCACUUCUGUAUGGCAUGAAGGACCGUCCGUCCCUGUUGCGUCCCUCUGUGCGCUGGAAGGCGCGGUGGGAUCUCUGGCAGCCUGCUGGCUGCUGCUCCCAACCGCGGGGAACCGCACCGCGCCGCUUCUGAAGAGAGAAAGGAAGAAACGGUGGUGGGAACGGGCAGCCAAGGCUUGCAGAGAGGUUCCAGAUGGUGCCAGAGAGGGGAUGUCAGAGUGCUGAGACACUGAUUAUCACUAAGGGAAAAGACGGCCUGAGCCACGUCCGCGUUGUUAGCCCAGGCUGUCAGCAGUGAGCGCUGAAUGCAACCGGUUACUGAGGUCACCAAGGACCAGCAGGGCUCCCCCUGCUCCGUCCCUUCCCCUUGAGAGCAAGAGAAAGGAAGAACCAAGCAGAAGAAGCCCAGCCAUACCUUGCCACUCAGACGGCAGCAAUUGGAACCGCGGUCGUCUCCGUGCUGAGACAUGGCCGCUGAAGGCUCAGAGGAAGCUGAAGUUCCCAGGCCUCUGUGCACAGGAACUUCCCCGGCCCUUGGAAAGAGCUGGCUUCCCUCUUCCUGCG